rnacentral:rRNA from 1 species
AACGAACGCUGGCGGCAUGCCUAACACAUGCAGGUCGAACGAGACCUUCGGGUCUUGUGGCGCACGGGUGCGUAACGCGUGGGAACCUGCCUUUAGGUUCGGAAUAACUCAGAGAAAUUUGAGCUAAUACCGGAUGAUGUCUUCGGACCAAAGAUUUAUCGCCUUUAGAUGGGCCCGCGUUGGAUUAGCUAGUUGGUGGGGUAAAGGCCUACCAAGGCGACGAUCCAUAGCUGGUCCGAGAGGAUGAUCAGCCACACUGGGACUGAGACACGGCCCAGACUCCUACGGGAGGCAGCAGUGGGGAAUAUUGGACAAUGGGCGAAAGCCUGAUCCAGCAAUGCCGCGUGAGUGAUGAAGGCCUUAGGGUUGUAAAGCUCUUUUACCCGAGAUGAUAAUGACAGUAUCGGGAGAAUAAGCUCCGGCUAACUCCGUG